rnacentral:lncRNA from 1 species
CAAGAACCCAAUACUCAAUACCACAUUCUCCGAGGGGCAGGAGGCAGCAGUGCCAUAACAUUCCACAAAUGUCCUUUCACACGGUAAAAAUAUUUCUGACAGUCACUCUGCCCAAACCUUCCUAUUCAUAACACUGUCAGCUGGUGUGUCACUCACAGUGACAGGAAAGGAGAGAGGGAAAGAUGAUUGUGGUGAAAAAGAUGGUAGAAGUUAAAUCACUGCAUGGUGAACAAGCAAGAAGCACCUCAACUGCCCAUUGUCACAAAGAUUGCUGACGCAUUCCUGUCAAAGAGGGUCGAGAAGGAAAAUAUUCCACUGGCCUCAGGGAAACAGACUUCCUGGAUCUCAAGGCUGCCACAGCUAUCAUGGAGUCCAGCUUGCUCAACCAGAGAAACCUGUAUCAGUGAAGUCAUCAGAGUCUCUCAAAGCUAACUGAUCUUCUCUGGAAUGUGGGAAUCUUCAAUAGUCAGCCUUCUAGAAAACACCAUUAUCUGGGUCAUUUGCUCUUCAUGGUCAC